CUUAGUGGCAGACGGGUGAGUAACAUGUGGGUAUCUACCCUUUGGCCUGGAAUAACACGAGGAAACUUGUGCUAAUACCGGAUAAGUCUUUACGGAGAAAGCUUUAUGCACCAUUGGAUGAGCCUGCACUUGAUUAGUUUGUUGGUAGGGUAAUGGCCUACCAAGACUAUGAUCAAUAGCUGAUUUGAGAGGAUGAUCAGCCACAUUGGGACUGAGACACGGCCCAAACUCCUACGGGAGGCAGCAGUGGGGAAUCUUGCACAAUGGAGGAAACUCUGAUGCAGCGAUGCCGCGUGAGUGAAGAAGGCCCUUGGGUUGUAAAGCUCUUUCGUCGGGGAAGAAAAUGACUGUACCCGAAUAAGAAGGUCCGGCUAACUUCGUGCCAGCAGCCGCGGUAAUACGAAGGGACCUAGCGUAGUUCGGAAUUACUGGGCUUAAAGAGUUCGUAGGUGGUUGAAAAAGUUGGUUGUGAAAUCCCAGAGCUUAACUCUGGAACUGCAACCAAAACUUUUCAGCUAGAGUAUGAUAGAGGAAA
rnacentral:rRNA from 1 species